UACGGAGGAUGCAAGCGUUAUCCGGAUUCAUUGGGUUUAAAGGGUGCGCAGGCGGGCUUGUAAGUCAGUGGUGAAAUGCUGCCGCUUAACGGUAGAAUUGCCAUUGAUACUGCAGGUCUUGAAUAUAGUUGAGGUAGGCGGAAUGUGUUGUGUAGCGGUGAAAUGCAUAGAUAUGACACAGAACACCGAUUGCGAAGGCAGCUUACUAAGCUAUUAUUGACGCUGAGGCA
rnacentral:rRNA from 1 species